CCAGACUCCUACGGGAGGCAGCAGUGAGGAAUAUUGGUCAAUGGGCGAGAGCCUGAACCAGCCAAGUCGCGUGAAGGAUGAAGGAUCUAUGGUUUGUAAACUUCUUUUAUAAAGGAAUAAAGUGAGGCACGUGUGCCUUUUUGUAUGUACUUUAUGAAUAAGGAUCGGCUAACUCCGUGCCAGCAGCCGCGGUAAUACGGAGGAUCCGAGCGUUAUCCGGAUUUAUUGGGUUUAAAGGGAGCGUAGAUGGGUUGUUAAGUCAGUUGUGAAAGUUUGCGGCUCAACCGUAAAAUUGCAAUUGAUACUGGCAGCCUUGAGUACAGUUGAGGUAGGCGGAAUUCGUGGUGUAGCGGUGAAAUGCAUAGAUAUCACGCAGAACUCCGAUUGCGAAGGCAGCAUACCGGCGCCCAACUGACGCUGAAGCACGAAAGCGUGGGUAUCGAACAGGAUUAGAUACCCGCGUAC
rnacentral:rRNA from 1 species